GACAGAGGGUGCAAACGUUUGUUCGGAAUUACUGGGCGUAAAGCGCGUGUAGGCGGCUUGGCAAGUCGGGUGUGAAAGCCCUGGGCUCAACCCAGGAAGUGCACUCGAAACUGCUUCGCUCGAGUAUCGGAGAGGAAAGCGGAAUUCUCGGUGUAGAGGUGAAAUUCGUAGAUAUCGAGAGGAACACCGGUGCGAAGGGCGGCUU
rnacentral:rRNA from 1 species